rnacentral:rRNA from 1 species
ACGAACGCUGGCGGCGUGCUUAACACAUGCAAGUCGAACGGUGACCUCGGAGCUUGCUCCGGGUGAUCAGUGGCGAACGGGUGAGUAACACGUGAGUAACCUGCCCCAAGACUCUGGGAUAACCCCGGGAAACCGGAGCUAAUACCGGAUACGACACGAAGAGGCAUCUCUAUCGUGUGGAAAGUUUUUCGGUCUGGGAUGGACUCGCGGCCUAUCAGCUUGUUGGUGAGGUAACGGCUCACCAAGGCGACGACGGGUAGCCGGCCUGAGAGGGCGACCGGCCACACUGGGACUGAGACACGGCCCAGACUCCUACGGGAGGCAGCAGUGGGGAAUAUUGCACAAUGGGCGAAAGCCUGAUGCAGCGACGCCGCGUGGGGGAUGACGGCCUUCGGGUUGUAAACCCCUUUCAGCAGGGAAGAAGCGAAAGUGACGGUACCUGCAGAAGAAGCACCGGCUAACUACGU